GAUCAUGGCUCAGAAUGAACGCUGGUGGCAUGCCUAACACAUGCAAGUCGAACGAAGGCUUCGGCCUUAGUGGCGCACGGGUGCGUAACGCGUGGGAAUCUGCCCUUGGGUUCGGAAUAACAGUUAGAAAUGACUGCUAAUACCGGAUGAUGUCGUAAGACCAAAGAUUUAUCGCCCAAGGAUGAGCCCGCGUAGGAUUAGCUAGUUGGUGAGGUAAAAGCUCACCAAGGCGACGAUCCUUAG
rnacentral:rRNA from 1 species